UUUUUUUUUUUUUUUUGGACAUUCUCAAUGCAUUUAGUGCUAUUAGUAACCUUUUUUUUUAAUAGUAUGAAUCAUUGUUGAAGUUAAAAACUCACUUUCCCAAAUUACAGAAUCAAUUUUUUUCAACUUAUAUAAGUUUUUUUUACUUUACAAACUGUAAUAAACAUAAGCUGCACCAAGCAAUCAUAUAAACAGCUCUAAAGCAACACAAUAUAAGGUCAUGAUCACAUUUGGUUUGUUUGCUAUCCUUCAGCUCCUUAACUAUCCGACCUGCCUUGCAUUCAAUAUAUAAUCAUCACAUCCUGGGGCUGAAAGGUCCCAAGUACGUGAGUUGAGUUUCAACAUCGUGGGAUAGUUUGGUUCUACUGUUGGUGUUAAAGAGAGCUGUGAGGAGCAAACCUAGUACGAGAGAACUGGGUUGGGCCCAAUCUAAGGUGUACCGGUUGUUAUGCCAAUGGCAUUGCCACACGACUAUAACAGUAUGAAAGAACUAUUGCGCCAGGCGAAAUCCUUCUCUACAAUGACACCAAAGGAAAACACACAUCCAAGAGCACAAGAAGACAAUGGGUAUACAGGAUUGACAACCUAUUAAUCUUCAUAUCAAGUAAAUUGUUGUCAAUAAUACAAGCCACAAGUAAUUCACAAAGAUAUUCCCCAAAACAUAACUGGUCAAGCAUCCACCAUCAAAAUUGAACCAAAACCCUCAUCAACUAUUAAAUGAGACAAAAAAAAUACCUAGCAACAGGAGAGAUGUGAGCACCAAAGCUUACUAGUCACAAAUUUUAAAAAAAUACAAAAUCAAACUUUCAAGUCCUCCAAAAGUAGCAUAAAUGUAAACAAAAUU